rnacentral:rRNA from 1 species
AAUAUUAGACAAUGGGCGAAAGCCUGAUCCAGCCAUGCCGCGUGAGCGAUGAAGGUUUUCGGAUCGUAAAGCUCUGUCCUUGGGGAAGAAGGUCUUCGGACUUGACGGUACCUUAGGAGGAAGCGCCGGCUAACUACGUGCCAGCAGCCGCGGUAAUACGUAGGGGGCAAGCGUUGUCCGGAAUUAUUGGGCGUAAAGGGUGCGUAGGCGGCCUUUUAAGUCAGGUGUGAAAGCCCACGGCUUAACCGUGGGAUUGCAUUUGAAACUGGAAGGCUUGAGUAUCGGAGAGGGUAGUGGAAUUCCCAGUGUAGCGGUGGAAUGCGUAGAUAUUGGGAGGAACACCAGUGGCGAAGGCGACUACCUGGACGAAAACUGACGCUGAGGCACGAAAGCUAGGGGAGCAAAC